rnacentral:rRNA from 1 species
GACGUAGGGCGCGAGCGUUGUCCGGAUUUAUUGGGCGUAAAGAGCUCGUAGGCGGCUCGUUGCGUCAACCGUGAAAACCCGGGGCUUAACUUCGGGCUUGCGGCUGAUACGGGCGGGCUGGAGUUCGGUAGGGGAGACUGGAAUUCCUGGUGUAGCGGUGAAAUGCGCAGAUAUCAGGAGGAACACCGGUGGCGAAGGCGGGUCUCUGGGCCGAUACUGACGCUGAGGAGCGAAAGCGUGGGGAGCGAACAGG